UACGUAGGGUGCGAGCGUUAAUCGGAAUUACUGGGCGUAAAGUGUGCGCAGGCGGCAGAGCAAGUCGAGUGUGAAAGCCCCGGGCUUAACUUGGGAAUUGCGCUCGAAACUACUUUGCUUGGAGUGUGGCAGAGGAAGGUGGAAUUCCACGUGUAGCGGUGAAAUGCGUAGAUAUCUGGAGGAACACCGGUGGCGAAGGCGGCGAUCUGGCCCAACACUGGAC
rnacentral:rRNA from 1 species